GACGAACGCUGGCGGCGUGCCUAAUACAUGCAAGUAGAACGCUGAAGCGAGGAGCUUGCUCUUCUUGGAUGAGUUGCGAACGGGUGAGUAACGCGUAGGUAACCUGCCUUGUAGCGGGGGAUAACUAUUGGAAACGAUAGCUAAUACCGCAUAACAAUGGAUGACACAUGUCAUUUAUUUGAAAGUGGCAAUUGCUCCACUACAAGAUGGACCUGCGUUGUAUUAGCUAGUAGGUGAGGUAAUGGCUCACCUAGGCGACGAUACAUAGCCGACCUGAGAGGGUGAUCGGCCACACUGGGACUGAGACACGGCCCAGACUCCUACGGGAGGCAGCAGUAGGGAAUCUUCGGCAAUGGGGGCAACCCUGACCGAGCAACGCCGCGUGAGUGAAGAAGGGUUUCGGAUCGUAAAGCUCUGUUGUAAGUCAAGAACGGGUGUGAGAGUGGAAAGUUCACACUGUGACGGUAGCUUACCAGAAAGGGACGGCUAAUUACGUG
rnacentral:rRNA from 1 species